rnacentral:lncRNA from 7 species
AAAAGGCUAGAGGACAAACAAAAUGCUGGACAGGCCCAAAUAAAGACAACUAUAGACACAUAGACACACAUAUUGCAGAGGUUUCCUGCUUCAAGUAGCUAUUAUACUAACCUACACUUUAAGCAAAGAGCAUUUUAGGUUUCAGACUGGUGAAAACCUAGGAUGAGCAGGAGCACCAGUAAAAGUUGCAUCUUUAACGAAACUGAUGAAACAGGCCAGCAAAGCAAGAAGAUGAUCUUAUUUUCACAUUUGGAAAACUGCAGAUAUGGAUUAUCUUCCAACUCUGAACAUGCUGCAGGAACAAAAGAUAUGCACUGGAACUCCAAUACUCACUUUAGGAAGAAUAUAAAUGAUUUGGAUUCAUUUCCCAGUAUGAAGGGCUCUGCAAGAAGCUGAAGAAGCCAGAAAGAAUUAGAAAGCACAACCACAAACAGUAUUAACAGAAAUAUUGUAUAAUAAGCAGGGCAAAUCAUCCCUUCAUUCAGAUGGCAAUUACAUCACUGGUAACGCAACGCUUUCCUGCUUUCAGCAGCGCUACAAAGAUAACCUCCCUGCGAUGAAUAUAUUUUGAGCAAUUUUUCCCGUGUGCUGGCCUGAACCAGUCUUUUCUUUGAUGCUAGACAUAAAUGUCCUACUGUAACUCUUGUCUUGCUCUUGCAUAAAUAAACCAUCUACCGGCACUGG